UAAUAAACACUUGAGUGAAAAUAAAUAAUUCCCCUUUUUGCUGGGGACCCCCUGGAACCCCUUUAAGGACCCCUGAUGGUCCUCAGAUCCCAGUUUGAGAAUCACUGCUCUAGAGUAUGGUG